rnacentral:rRNA from 1 species
AAGAGUUUGAUCCUGGCUCAGGACGAACGCUGGCGGCGUGCCUAACACAUGCAAGUCGAACGGAGAAUUUCAAGAUGUUUACAUGGCGAAAUUCUUAGUGGCGGUAACCUACCCAUAAACCCGGGACAACCCUUGGAAACGAGGGCUAAUACCGGAUAAUCUUGGAAAGCGGCAUCGCUUUGCAAGGAAAGGUGGCCUCUGUAUAUGCUACCGAUUAUGGAUGGACCCGCGUCUGAUUAGCUAGUUGGUGGGGUAAAGGCCUACCAAGGCGACGAUCAGUAGCCGGCCUGAGAGGGUGACCGGCCACACUGGAACUGAGAUACGGUCCAGACUCCUACGGGAGGCAGCAGUGGGGAAUCUUGCGCAAUGGGCGCAAGCCUGACCCAGCAAUGCCGCGUGAAGGAUGAAGGUUUUCGGAUUGUAAACUUCUGUCCUCAAGGACGAAGGUUUGACGGUACCUGACUAAGAAGCCCCGGCUAACUACGUGCCAGCAGCCGCGGUAAUACGUAGGGGGCGAGCGUUGUCCGGAAUUACUGGGCGUAAAGGGUGCGUAGGCGGUUUAUUAAGUUGGAUGUGAAAUACCCGGGCUUAACUUGGGAGGUGCAUCCAAAACUGGUAGACUAGAGUACAGGAGAGGGAAGCGGAAUUCCUAGUGUAGCGGUGAAAUGCGUAGAUAUUAGGAGGAACACCAGUGGCGAAGGCGGCUUUCUGGACUGACACUGACGCUGAGGCACGAAAGCGUGGGGAGCAAACAGGAUUAGAUACCCUGGUAGUCCACGCUGUAAACGAUGAAUACUAGGUGUAGGGGGUAUCAACUCCCCCUGUGCCGGAGCAAACGCAAUAAGUAUUCCGCCUGGGGAGUACGGCCGCAAGGUUGAAACUCAAAGGAAUUGACGGGGGCCCGCACAAGCAGCGGAGCAUGUGGUUUAAUUCGAAGCAACGCGAAGAACCUUACCAAGGCUUGACAUCCUGCUAAACUCAUGGAAACAUGAGGUCCCUUCGGGGGAGCAGAGACAGGUGGUGCAUGGUUGUCGUCAGCUCGUGUCGUGAGAUGUUGGGUUAAGUCCCGCAACGAGCGCAACCCUUGUUGCCAGUUACCAGCGAGUAAAGUCGGGGACUCUGGUGAGACUGCCGGGGACAACUCGGAGGAAGGUGGGGACGACGUCAAAUCAUCAUGCCCCUUAUGUCUUGGGCUACACACGUGCUACAAUGGCUGAAACAAAGGGUAGCGAAGCCGCAAGGUGAAGCGAAUCUCAAAAAAGCUGUCUCAGUUCGGAUCGUGGGCUGCAACCCGCCCACGUGAAGUCGGAGUUGCUAGUAAUCGCGAAUCAUCAUGUCGCGGUGAAUACGUUCCCGGGCCUUGUACACACCGCCC